rnacentral:rRNA from 1 species
UACAUGUGGGGCAAGCGUUGUUCGGAAUUACUGGGCAUAAAGGGUGCGUAGGCGGUUUGUUAAGUCACUGGUGAAAGUUUUCGGCCCAACCGGAAAAUUGCCUGUGAUACUGGCGAACUUGAGUGCGUGAGGGGUGGGGGGAACGAGCAGUGUAGCGGUGAAAUGCGUAGAUAUUGCUCGGAAGGCCGGAGCCGAAGGGGCCCCGCUGGUACGUAACUGACGCUGAGGCACGAAAGCGUGGGGAGCAAACAGG